rnacentral:rRNA from 1 species
CACGUAGUUAGCCGGGGCUUCUUACUCAGGUACCGUCAUUUUCUUCCCUGCUGAUAGAGCUUUACAUCACGAAUGACUUCUCCACUCACGCGGCGUUGCUGCAUCAGGGUUUCCCCCAUUGUGCAAUAUUCCCCACUGCUGCCUCCCGUAGGAGUUUGGGCCGUGUCUCAGUCCCAAUGUGGCCGUUCACCCUCUCAGGCCGGCUACUGAUCGUCGCCUUGGUGGGCUUCUACCCCGCCAACCAGCUAAUCAGACGCGGAUCCAUCUUACACCACCGGAGUUUUUCACACUAAGCCAUGCGGCUCCGUGCGCUUAUGCGGUAUUAGCACCUAUUUCUAAGUGUUAUCCCCCAGUGUAAGGCAGGUUAUCCACGCGUUACUCACCCGUCCGCCACUAAGUUACGAAUCACUAGGUUUCAUCGUAACUCCGUUCGACUUGCAUGUGUUAGGCACGCCGCCAGCGUCAUCCUGAGCAGGAUCAAACUCUCUAGACUACGCGACCG